rnacentral:pre_miRNA from 1 species
UCUUAUGGGUGAACAAAAAAAGUGGUUUCUUGAGAUGGAACUACUGUUGGUGAAGAUGCUGUGAA